CUGCCUGCCACCUCUCCCUACCUCUGCCGCAAACUCCUUCUUUUCCUUCCUUUACUGGUGUCGCCUCCUUCUUCUUCCUUUUUACUAUUGACGUCGUUUUAGAGCAAGGAAACCCUCCUCCUUGCUGCCACUCCAAGUGUAGCCUUUUGUUGCCCUUACCUCGUGAAUCCGACGCUGGAAAUGAGCUCCCCACCAUCGAAAGCCCCCAAGCCAACCUCCCCCGCCGUUUUCCUCCACCAGUAGCCUCUGUAUAACCUCGCCGAAAUCGAAACUUUUUGGCCUCGAUCUGAUGCCUUUCGGCGAGUUUCCAGCAGAAACAUCUCUAUAUUCGGACUCCCGCAACUCCAGCUUCGCAUAGGCGCUUUCGAAUUCGAAAUUCGACACCGUUGGCGGUACCGACUUUCGAACCCCGGAAACUUUCGAAUUCGAAAUUCGCCGUUGGCAGUACCGACUUUCGAACCCUGGUAUUUUCCGGAUGCGUAGAAGUUCGAAUUUCGGCUCGGUAUAAUUUUAUCCAGACUUUACAAAUUAUUUAAAAUUAUUAAGAAAUAAUUGGUGUAUAAAUUGUUAGUUACAAUUAAUUAAUUAGUCGUCUGAUUUUAGAAUUACUGCAGAUUAAUUAUAGAAGGAGUUAAUAUUCUGUCAUAUAAAUUGAAGCUGCGAUUAAUUGAAUUAAAUACGAGGAAAAAUAUUUAUGUGUUGUAUCAUGAAUAAUAUUAUUUUGUCGGAC
rnacentral:lncRNA from 1 species